CGGGAAAACGACUUUCCCGCAUCGCGGUGUUUUUUAGUUUCCGCUGGAGAUAAGGGGUUAUGCGCAUUCUUCAGUUGGUAGUACUUAUUGAAGUCAACGAACGUCAUGUCAUAACUGUCAUCUGCUGUAAAAUCAAUUAAACCGUUGGUUGAGGGUAUUUAGUGCGAUUAAUCGGAAACAGACGUACACUAAGUUUUACAAUUGGAACUCAAGAAAAAGUAAAAUUUAUUGUUAAAACGUCUUAAAAUGUGACCAGUGAUAUUCCGCAACUAUUGGCAUAUGCAGGUUAAGAAAG